rnacentral:misc_RNA from 1 species
CGCACAUUGCGCCCGCCAGUAUUCUGGCGGGCAUGCCUGUUCGAGCGUCAUUUCAACCCUCAAGCCCCAGUGGCCUGGUGUUGGGGACCGGCGACCUCGCCCGGGGGAACACCCCCGGCGCGUCCGCCGCCCCCGAAAUGAAUUGGCGGCCCCGUCGCGGCCUCCUCUGCGUAGUAGCACAACCUCGCAGCGGGAGCGCGACGCGGCCACUGCCGUAAAACGCCCAACUUUUUUUUAGAGUUGACCUCGGAUCAGGUAGGAAUACCCGCUGAACUUAA